GUGUCAGCCGCCGCGGUAAAACGUAGGAUGCGAGCGUUAUCCGGAGUUACUGGGCGUAAAGCGCGGGCAGGCGGAGGGGCAAGUCGGACGUGAAAGCUCCCGGCUUAACCGGGAGAGGCCGUUCGAGACUGUCUCUCUGGAGGGCAGUAGAGGCGCGUGGAAUUCCGGGUGGAGCGGUGAAAUGCGCAGAGAUCCGGAGGAACACCAGAGGCGAAGGCGGCGCGCUGGGCUGACCCUGACGCUGAGCCGCGAAAGCGUGGGGAGCGAACGGGAUUAGAUACCCCGGUAGUCCUGGCUGUAAACGAUGGACGCUAGGUGUGGGGGGGGAUAAACUCCCUCCGUGCCGAAGCUAACGCGUUAAGCGUCCCGCCUGGGGACUACGGCCGCAAGGCUAAAACUUAAAGGAAUUGACGGGG
rnacentral:rRNA from 1 species